GAACCAGUACCGUGAGGGAAAGGCGAAAAGAACCCCGGCGAGGGGAGUGAAAAAGAACCUGAAACCGUGUACGUACAAGCAGUGGGAGCACGCUUAGGCGUGUGACUGCGUACCUUUUGUAUAAUGGGUCAGCGACUUAUAUUCUGUAGCAAGGUUAACCGAAUAGGGGAGCCGAAGGGAAACCGAGUCUUAACUGGGCGUUAAGUUGCAGGGUAUAGACCCGAAACCCGGUGAUCUAGCCAUGGGCAGGUUGAAGGUUGGGUAACACUAACUGGAGGACCGAACCGACUAAUGUUGAAAAAUUAGCGGAUGACUUGUGGCUGGGGGUGAAAGGCCAAUCAAACCGGGAGAUAGCUGGUUCUCCCCGAAAGCUAUUUAGGUAGCGCCUCGUGAAUUCAUCUCCGGGGGUAGAGCACUGUUUCGGCAAGGGGGUCAUCCCGACUUACCAACCCGAUGCAAACUGCGAAUACCGGAGAAUGUUAUCACGGGAGACACACGGCGGGUGCUAACGUCCGUCGUGAAGAGGGAAACAACCCAGACCGCCAGCUAAGGUCCCAAAGUCAUGGUUAAGUGGGAAACGAUGUGGGAAGGCCCAGACAGCCAGGAUGUUGGCUUAGAAGCAGCCAUCAUUUAAAGAAAGCGUAAUAGCUCACUGGUCGAGUCGGCCUGCGCGGAAGAUGUAACGGGGCUAAACCAUGCAC
rnacentral:rRNA from 1 species